UGGGGAAUAUUGCACAAUGGGCGCAAGCCUGAUGCAGCCAUGCCGCGUGUGUGAAGAAGGCCUUCGGGUUGUAAAGCACUUUCAGCGAGGAGGAAGGUGGUGAGCUUAAUACGCUCAUCAAUUGACGUUACUCGCAGAAGAAGCGCCGGCUAACUCCGUGCCAGCAGUCGCGGUAAUACGGAGGGUGCAAGCGUUAAUCGGAAUUACUGGGCGUAAAGCGCACGCAGGCGGUUUGUUAAGUCAGAUGUGAAAGUCCCCGGGCUCAACCUGGGAACUGCAUUUGAAACUGGCAAGCUAGAGUCUCGUAGAGGGGGGUAGAAUUCCAGGUGUAGCGGUGAAAUGCGUAGAGAUCUGGAGGAAUACCGGUGGCGAAGGCGGCCCCCUGGACGAAGACUGACGCUCAGGUGCG
rnacentral:rRNA from 1 species